AAGCAUAUUUAUUUAUUUAUUGAUUGACUGUAUAAUUGUACAGCCUGUCACUGGAUAGUCUGUAAUUUAUGAUCCUAGAGCAGGCCUGCAAGACAUACAGUCAGUGGGCCGCUUGCCCAUCAAAAGAUUUUGGCAGCCUUCAAAAAACGUAGAGGCUAUAAAAGAAAAUAAAGAUGUAAUGAGUGCUUUGUCUGUGCCCCACUUAAUUAACCCGCCUUCCACAAGUGAUUAUUGUGCCCAUCCUGUAACUUGGCGGGUGGGUUGCCACCUCAAACUCGCUGUUUGUCACGUGAUCCUUAGCAACCAACCAUCAUGUCUGUCUCUAGUCUGAGAAGAGUGAGAGUUGUAUCUUUUAACUGUGUUUUCAGUCAUUACUGGUGUUGAACAAGGACAAAGUGAGUGCAGCCACUUGCCAAUGCAGCUAAUGCCUGCUAUGUGACAAGGGGCAACAACUCAAGGGCUUCUUCCCCUCCCUUGCCAUGCAAGUGAGGCCGUCCUCCAAGUUACAGGAGUGUCUGACACUCUCUCCAAGAGGACCAGUGACAUCAUGGAGUGAUGUCUUGACUUGUGCAUGAAUUGGAUUUAAGCGAAGCAGAGUUGUGGAAAGUUGUCAGCCUCUUCCAGAGUCUCUUCCAGAGUCAUCAAAGUCCAGCGGGGCCUCUGUGGCCACUGGAACAUAUUGUUCUCAUCUGCUUAUUACAUGAUGAGGGUGGAAGAAUGUCUUCAGAUGGAGUAGACAUCGCCCUAAGUCACUGAUGGGUUUGAGGCCCAUUGGUAACCCUCAAUCUGGUUUACCCCAUCUGCUGAGAUGGUUUUACC